UUUUUAAGUUUCUUUUUCCAGGAAAUGUGGUGUCUACAACGUUUUAAAACAUAUAUGCCUAUAUUCCUUUAAAGUCCGCUGAUGUUGAUUGUAGGCAAUCAUGCAAGUGAAUUAUGUUUAGUAACUAAACACCUAAAAGGUAUGAUAAACGGAAACUACGCGACGGUAAAUACCGAAAAUGAGCGGAAUAUACGUUUAUUUACGAUGAUUUAGUGGGCGGGAAAAUGGGCGGAGCUUAUUUUAUCUCCUAUUGAAAAACGUGUAAAGCUGGAUUAUGCUGAUCUGAAUCAUGAUGAUUCGACAAUGUAAAGCUAAGAAUGUAACUUCUGUUUUGAGUAUUCGAACACUUGGUAUUGCUACUACCAGUUAAUGUUUUGUCGUUUAACAAAAUGUAUUUUGUUGAAAUGCAUGUUUACAAUGUUAAAUCGGCAAACUCAAUCCAAGUAUGCAACAUUGGAGUUUACAUACAAAGAAAUACAAUUGUAUUUUUUCCAUUAACAAACUGUUCAACUCAGAUCAACAAGGCUGGAUUUUUGGCAACGAAUAGCCUCCAUAUAAAACAGCAUGUUCAAUUUGACAAUAUGGGAGAAAAUGAAAGUGAAGACUUUGAUUUAGAAGUCCACAGAUUUCAGGUGGAUGAGUCGUUGCUGCAAAGUACAAACCUGAAGAUAGAUGAGUGGUGGAGUUCUAUUCAGAGACAAGGGAAAUACCCAGUUUUAAGCAGACUGGCGCUUAUGAUUUGUACUAUUUUUCAUGGUCCUAUGGUUGAAAGUUCUUUCAAUAUCAUGGGGAUGUCAUAGGUAUUUAAUCUGCCAACACUAGCACGGAAUUGUAUUCAGCUGUACAAACUGUAAAAUAUAAUUUAAGAGCUAAUGGAAAGUCAGCUGUUGAAAUGUUUUCAAGGGAAGAUGUCCUUCAUGACAAAGUAAAUGGUUUGUUAUGUAAAAAUCUUAGCAAAGCGAGUGCAACAUACAGAGGGUUGUUGUUGGAAAAAAACGCAGAUGAGGCAAAGAAAAAAGAAAGUUAUCAACUUACACAUGAUAAACCAUUGUCAAAACAAAAAAUGAAAAUUGUGCAAAAUGAAAAUGCAUUAGCUGCUAAAGCAAGUCACACCAAUAUGCAGUUGAAAAAAGCAAGGAAAAGGGUCUCCGAGGUAUUGUGUUCUGUUAAAAAAAGGAAGUUGUAGACUAUGAUUGAAUACAUGAUGAAAUUUGUGUGAUAGUGUAUAUACAUACAUUGUGUUCUGUUAAAAAAAGGAAGUUGUAGACUAUGAUUGAAUACAUGAUGAAAUUUGUGUGAUCAUCAAUAUAAUAUAUAUAUACAUGUAGUGGAAUUCAAAUGUAUCUUGUGAACUAAAGUUAUUGUAUCAUUCAUUGUGCUAAAAAUGCAUUGACUGAUCUAUACAUCUAUCUUAAACAGUUAUGAACUGAGAUUAUUGUUUUGUACUAGUCAUGCCUUUUUAAAUAUAUUGUAGGUGUAUAGUUAAAUAGUGAUAAUUUUGUUGACAAAAGACAGUAUUAGUAGUAGUGAUGUUAUGUUAUGUGUUAUGAAUAUUAUACAGAAAUCCAAAAUCUGCGCCAAAAAAGUUAUAUAUACAUGUCAUGUAAAUAAGUUCUUUGUGAUAACAUAAACUGUAAUAAUUUAACCAUAUUUAAACUAAUUUAUGCACUUGGUCCUUUUCAUCUUAAAUAUUACUUUAUUAGAUAGUAGCCAAUUUACAUAAUUUCUUAUGCACAACAAAAAGAAGUGACAAUUCUUAGCAAUUAAGUAUAUGUUAUGUUUUUAUCCAGAAAUGUUUUCAUCCAGAAAUAGAAUGUACAGAAUUCAAAAGUUUUUAUGUGAUUAUUAUGAGGUUAUUUUGAGAUUACUUUAAAUGAAAAAAGUCAGGAUUUUCAUUGUAUUUUUAUGGGUAUUUUUACUGAAAGAAUUUUUUACAUUAUAUUUAUAGAAAUUUAAUUCUAGUCUCUUCUCUAAGCUGAAAACUAUCAAUGUGUCCAGUCACUUAUAAUAAGAAGAAACAUUAUACAGUAUGUUUGAUAUUGUUUUGUUCAUUCCUUUGUAGUCACAUGUUCUAUUUUUAAUUUUGUUUUUUUGUUAUUACAAUAAAGUUGAAUUAAUAAAAAUUUA